CUGUUUCGACCUGUGUAGGGCUGAUAUAGUGAAUAUGGGUAUCUAUACCACCCGGUGUUAAGAUAUAGCCAGAUCCGCCAUGCACUUCGGUAGAAGCGCCAAUAAUCAUAUUUGGCGUAAUGUUAUCCAUUGUAUCCGGAUUUCCAGCACGGCCGACACCGACAAUCUUACCAUCCUUGAUACCGAUAUCACCUUUCACAAUUCCCCAGUGGUCAAUCACGAUAGCAUCGGUGAUCACCAUAUCCAAGGUGCCUUCAUCACGUGUGUGAACGGAAGAUUGACACAUACCGUCACGUACGG
rfam:Sphingobacterium sp. CZ-TAM QB.A_0, whole genome shotgun sequence.